rnacentral:rRNA from 1 species
CCGCAUCUGUGCAUGCAGCAUAUCAAUAAGCGGAGGAAAAGAAACUAACAAGGAUUCCCCUAGUAACGGCGAGUGAAGCGGGAAGAGCUCAAAUUUGAAAUCUUAAAGGGUUUCCCUUUACGAAUUGUAGUUUAAAGAAGUGUUUUCUGUUGAGGUUUUGGUAAAAGUUCUUUGGAGUAGGACAUCAUAGAGGGUGAGAAUCCCGUAUUUGACCUUUACUUUCAACUUUGUGAUACACUUCAAAGAGUCGGAUUGUUUGGGAAUGCAGUCCAAAAUGGGUGGUAAAUUUCAUCUAAAGCUAAAUAUUGGCGAGAGACCGAUAGCGAACAAGUACCGUGAGGGAAAGAUGAAAAGAACUUUGAAAAGAGAGUUAAACAGUACGUGAAAUUGUCAAAAGGGAAGCGUUUGACACCAGUGUUGUUUUUCUGAAAAUCAAUUAAAGAACUGUUUAUGCUAAGUUGUUUAGACUUUAUCAGCUAACUGUUUAGUUUUGAGCUUUUCUUUAAUGCACUUUUCAGUUAACAAGUCAACAUCAAUUUCUUUUGCUGUAAAAAAGCUUGAGGAAGGUGGCUUGAGAUUCGUCUUAAGUGUUUAUAGCCUCUUGCCUAUGCAGUCGGAGAGAUUGAGGUCUGCAGCGUAGAUCCUUCGGGGCUAAAUGCAUUUGUGCUAAGUUAUAGCAUUUUAUAGACAACUUGUUGACUAUGAUUUGUCUUGUAGCUUACUCGCUUAUGUUAUUUUACCUACGCUUAGGAUGUUGAGCGCAUGUCUCUCUCU